rnacentral:misc_RNA from 1 species
UUGAAUACGAUUGGUACUGAUGCUGGCUCUUUACUGGGCAUGUGCUCGUCCAUCUAUUUAUCUUCUCUUGUGCACAUCUUGUAGUCUUGAACGAAUUUUCGCAGUCAAUGCGGUUUGGGAGAUUGGGUGCAAGCCCUUUUCCUGGUUCUUCAAGGCUAUGUUUUCAUAUACACUAUAAAGUUACAGAAUGUCUUUUAAAGAUUGUGCUUGUCGCAGUCAUUAAACCUAUA